rnacentral:rRNA from 1 species
UACGUAGGGUCCAAGCGUUUAUCCGGAAUCACUGGGCGUAAAGCGUGCGUAGGUGGCGUGUUAAGUGUGAUGUUAAAUCGUGUGGCUCAACCAUAUCGAUGUGUCGCAUACUGGCAUGCUAGAGGACAGCAGAGGCAAGUGGAAUUAGUAGUGUAGCAGUGAAAUGCGUAGAUAUUCGCAAGAACACCAGUGGCGAAGGCGGCUCACUGGCCCGGUACUGACGCUGAGGCACGAAAGCGUGGGGGAGCAAACAGG